rnacentral:rRNA from 1 species
UACGAAGGGGGCUAGCGUUGCUCGGAAUCACUGGGCGUAAAGGGUGCGUAGGCGGGUCUUUAAGUCAGGGGUGAAAUCCUGGAGCUCAACUCCAGAACUGCCUUUGAUACUGAGGAUCUUGAGUUCGGGGAGAGGUGAGUGGAACUGCGAGUGUAGAGGUGAAAUUCGUAGAUAUUCGCAAGAACACCAGUGGCGAAGGCGGCUCACUGGCCCGGUACUGACGCUGAGGUGCGAAAGCGUGGGGAGCAAACAGG